AUGUUGCAAGUUCUAGCUUGUGGCGCCGUGGUCUUCCCCGGGCUGUUCCUCGCCUUCAGGAGGCUCCUGCCCUGCGUGUUCCGCCACUGGAGCGAUGCCGACGUGGUGCUGGUCAGCGAGAGAGUGGUGUCCUCCAUCCAUGCCAUCAUGGCAACAACUGCAGGAGUCAUCAUUGUGGCAUCAUGCAGGGACAACGUCAUUUACGACAGGCACUGGCUGGCCCCAUCCUUUGUCAUCUGGUAUGGCGUGCCCUACAUGGCGUACGACCUCUUCGCCAUGUACCUCAGUCACUACCACCGUUUCCGAGUCAAAGGUCACGAGGACUACAAGCAGCACUCGCUGAAGACGGUCAACUCCUUCGUCCGCAGGGAGUUCCUGCUGGUGCUUCAUCACAUCGCGCUGCUCACCAUCCUGCUGCCCGUCACACUGUUUUUCAGGCAGGACCAGGGGGAUUUCUUCAUUGGCUGCUUGUUUCUAACAGAGCUCAGCACUCCCUUCGUCUCCCUGGGGAAGAUACUCAUUCAGCUUGCCCUCCAGAACUGCUGGCUGCACAAGGCCAAUGGCGGCAUGGUACUGUUCACCUUCUUUAUGUGCCGCAUCGCUCUCUUCCCCUACAUGUACUGGAUGUAUGGCCGCCACUAUGGAGUCCCGCUCUACAGCGUGCCCUUCCACCUGCCGCUGUCGACCAACGUGGGCAACUUCUGCAUCCUGGCGCCACAGGUCUACUGGUUCGUGCUGCUUUGCCGGAAAGGCUACCGCCUGUACAAGCGCAGCCGAUGUCCCGAAGCGUCUCCUGCGGUCACAGUCACUGACAAUUCUAAGGACAACUGAUCUCCGGUUCACGAUUGCUCGCUCAAGCUGCUCACUCAGCUACUAACGCAACUACUUCUACAGAGGCACUAGUUUGACUUAACAUUUUUCGAACCCCACCAUUGUACUGUAGUACACCAGGACUGCCUGCUGUUGUCCCACAAACUCCUGGGCAUUAUCCGCACACUUUUAAUUCCUCUGUUACAAAUCUGCUGCCUACAUGGACCUCUCCACCGAUCGAACUCUAACUACUGAAGUUUGCUGACUGGGGUGUUUUUAGUUUUUUGGGGAUUUGGCUCUAGCCUGGAUCUUGUUGAAGUGCAACCCUGCGUCCGUCUACAUCCUCAACACGGAAGAAUGGUCAUGCUUCACCGAGAGUAACACGUGGAGUAAAAAGCACCAAAAAACUGAAGAGGAGCCUCCAUGGACAGACAUCUUAUCUCUUACUCCUACUGUGUUUACAGCCUCUGCUGAUUUGAAAGUCACAGGAAGUUGCUGAGCUGUGAGUGGAGCCGAGCGAGGCCGCCCUCCUCUCUGCUGCCAUCUGUGGUCGGGAUUAUCUGCUCGUCCACUCAGCAGUUCUCAGGCACACGACCAUCGGGAUUAGUUUAGGAGUAGUUGGGGCUUUUCUGUUGAAGCGUGUGCGUCUCAUCUCAUUCACCUCCUUCAGAUACAUGUAUAUCUCAGAUUUGAGCCGGGACGGCCUCAAUCUCCACUGAACACACUGUAGAAACCCACACGCUGCUUUGUUUUUAUGCUUUUCGGAAGAUUUCCAUGAUUUCAAAUUGGCCAUUUUGCUUCAUGCUUUGCAUUUGAAAGAACAUCGUGGCAAAACAUCUUUCUGAGGUGUAGUGACCUGUUUGGACCGUUUGAGCUUUGCAGAAAAAUCCCCCGUCUCGACUUUUCCACUGAAACUGAACCACAUAUUAAGCUUUUCAAAGCAUUUGUUUAAUCUCCAUUUUGCUCUUAUUCUGACGGGGUCGAUUUGACAGUUAAUGAAAAACCGUCGAAAUAUACAGUUAUACAAAUUUUAAUUCAGUGAGCUGGACCAUUUUUUAUUUUAACAUGAGCCUUUUGUCUCUUGGUUUAAAAAAAAGAAUCGUGGAAUAAAUACAGAAAAUAUAACAUUCCACUGUUUUUCAUCAACGCUUUAUUAUAUUUUAUCAGUCAUGAUUUUGUUUUUUUGCAUAUUUUAGGGGCACAUGUCCAAACUUCAAAUGGAAUUGCUAUAUUGACCCUUGAUUAAAAAAAUAAAUAAAUAAACAGAUUUUAUGGAUUGGCCAAUGUAUGUUUUUUUGAUUUUGUUUUAGAAAAUACCUCGAAAUCAAAUGAAUGAAUCGGACUUUACUUGAUUAAUAAGUUUGCUCCAUAGACGUGACGACAGCAUUUCAGAGCCUCAGAGAAUCCCUCAGAACACAGUGUGGACGCUUCCUGGUUAAACACAGAUCACAUAUCUUAAGAGUCAAUCGAUUCUUAACAUACUAAGUCUUAAGUUCCACCUCUCUGCUCAGGGUUUGAUGAAGUCUGAUGACCUGUGUGUGUCUGUGUGUAUAGAGGUUUAUUGUGAGACUGACACUGAAGAUGCAGUUUCUUUUUCUGUACGUGUGAUUUCAACAUAUUUUGUUCUUAGAUUUGCUUCUAUUUAUAAUUUCUGACAUGGCUUCUGAUCCUUACACUCCCAGGGGUUGGUAAACCAAAGACUGUCAGGCACUUUAGUCGAUCAUAGUGACUGUAGUGACAUGAAGAGAGAUCUGUUUUGAUUUUACUGUGUUUUUAGAUCUGCUGUAGGUGAUUUUUCUUUUAAAAAAAACAUGAAUUACUCCAGAUUUCCCCCCAAAAAAGACCCUCAAGUCUUAUCGUGUGUGUUCGGAUCCCAGAGGGGAACCGACAUGUUGGGUGUGUGAUCUGAGGAGGUGGUGGAGCAAAUACACACUAAUCAGGUGUUAAGUCCAUUCUCCAUUAACAAGCCACCCUCACACAGAGGACGUUUACGUGUUCUGGCUUCUGAAGCUCCAUAAUGAUUAUAACUCUACAUUUCACGGACACAUUAAAUGCACGAUAUGUCAUUUUCGUUGUCUCUCGAUCUAAACAUUGACAAAAGAGGAAGUUUGCUCCUCCAGGAAUUAUCUGCAGAAGUCUCCUCCACAAAAUCAACAGACUUGAUAUUUAAAAUGAGUAAAAAACGCUGAAUUAAGCGGUAUUGUGUUAAAAUGUUAUUGUUUUGUGUGUUUUCUUUGAGGCUCAUUGGCAGGAUGAUUGCGAGUGGGGCUGUAAAUAGCACGGUUGUUAACCAGUGAAGCAGCGAUGGCUUAUUUUGGUGGUUUUCCCAUCAUUUAAUGCAGAGAUGCUCUGAUAGAAUUUUUCCCUCCCAGCAUGAACUAUCUCCACGUUGCUGACCUUUUAGCUAGCACUGGCUAACGCGGGAAAUCAAAGAAGGGAUUUCCAGAUUAAAGUUUUGUCUGGGUGAAACCUAUAUUCUUUAAAGAUGUGGUAUCGGCUCGGUACUUAAAGUUGCGUACACAACAACCAUACAGUUGACAAAGGCUCAAAGAAGAAUACCACCCAACCUUGUUUUAGUAUUUUGCUGCUUUGCAUCGUCACAUAUCUGCACAUUUGGUCCUUUUCUCGGUAUAAACACAGAACGCUGGAAGGAAACAGUUUAAAGCUACAUUAUGUCAUGUUGGAUCAAUUGCGGGGAGGGGGGGGGCAGAUUAUAUUAUAAUAUUUGCAUGAAAUAGGCGUCAGGAGCAGAAGUGAGACAGAUUCUGCUUUUAAACUUGUAGCAUCAAUAUUCCAUCGUUUGCUUUUUCUUCUGAAAUGAUGUGAAUGCGGCAUUAGACUCAUGAAACACACAAAAGUGAAUACAAACUGGUCCUGGGGCUGAUUUUGAUCUGCGGCCCGUGAACCAGACUUGGUUUCCUGUGCCUCGUGAUAAAUCUACUUCCCCAACAAAUCUCAGUGUGAAAGAGCAAAGCUUGCAGCCAGUGUUUACAGGUUGUGGCUGUAUUUACUGGUUUAUUACCAUUGUCACCAUUAUGUCCUCCGGGACGAUGACACUUUUGGUUUUUCGCUGCAAUGAAAUCAUAUUAAAGAAAGUGAUUGAAACUAUUUUAGAAAAAAAAAACAGAUCGCUAUGCAUCUACUGCUAGAAUGAGAAUACAAAUUAAAUAUUUAGUAGGAUUUCACAUUUUGUAGCAUUUAAUUUAUAUUUUAAAAUCAUCACACAAAUUCCAUGAUGUUGUUUUUUUACAUGGAAUCAUUUGAGGAUGAAACCUUUUAAAGCUUAGACUGGUUCUAGUCUGUACUAUGUUUGCUGUGUCUCUGUUGAUUUUAGAGCUUUGCAUCAGUUUGGCGGAUGUGGAAGUUUAAGGCGGCACCUUCACGACCUUCAACACGUCCUGCCCCACGUUAUCUUUUGAUAGCGUUCUGAUUUUCUCAUACAUAUCUAUCGAUCAGAUUUGAUGCAUCUGUCCUUUUUUUUUUGUAGCGUGACCUUUUCUGAGGAACUUUGCUAUCUGAAAAGAGACUGGACUGUUUUUUGUUUUGGAAUCUGACUUAAAACAAUUGAUGUAUAAGAUGAGUUAUGUACUGUAGCUGCAACUAGUGAAUUCAGAGCACCCCUUUAAAAUUCAAUAAAUUUGAUUUGAUAGACCGUCUA